UAAAGCGUCCGUAGCCUGCCAGACCGGUCCGUCGGGAAAUCUGCUCGCCUAACGAGCAGGCGUCCGGCGGAAACCAGCUGGCUUGGGGCCGGAAGACCUGAGGGGUACGUCUGGGGUAGGAGUGAAAUCCCGUAAUCCUGGACGGACCACCAAUGGCGAAAGCACCUCAGGAAGACGGACCCGACGGUGAGGGACGAAAGCUAGGGUCACGAACCGGAUUAGAUACCCGGGUAGUCCUAGCUGUAAACGAUGCUCGCUAAGUGUAGCACACGCUACGAGCGUGUGCUUCGCUGCAGCGAAGGCGUAAGCGAGCCGCCUGGGAAGUACGUCUGCAAGGAUGAAACUUAAAGGAAUUGGCGGGGGAGCACUACAACCGGAGGAGCCUGCGGUUUAAUUGGACUCAACGCCGGACAUCUCACCAGCUCCGACAGUAGCAGUGACGGUCAGGUUGAUGAUCUUACCUGAGCUACUGAGAGGAGGUGCAUGGCCGCCGUCAGCUCGUACCGUGAGGCAUCCUGUUAAGUCAGGCAACGAGCGAGACCCGCACUCUUAAUUGCCAGCAACAUCCAUUGGAUGGUUGGGUACAUUAGGAGGACUGCCAGUGCUAAACUGGAGGAAGGAACGGGCAACGGUAGGUCAGUAUGCCCCGAAUGAGCUGGGCUACACGCGGGCUACAAUGAUCGAGACAAUGGGACGCAACGCCGAAAGGUGUCGCUAAUCUCCUAAACUCGGUCGUAGUUCGGAUUGAGGGCUGAAACUCGCCCUCAUGAAGCUGGAUUCGGUAGUAAUCG
rnacentral:rRNA from 1 species